rnacentral:tRNA from 1 species
AGAAAUUUAGGCUAAUGUAAGACCAAAGGCCUUCAAAGCCUUAAGUGGGAGUUAAAUCCCCCCAAUUUCUG